CUCCGCCCACACACACGUUUCUUCCUGGUGGUUUUACGAAGGAAAAGAGAACCUUCAGCAUGCAGGAGGAUGAAGAGACACACAUCAGGAGGAGGAGGAAGAUGAUGAACUGAAGAAAGAGAAGCAGAUCAACAUGAGCAGCAUAAUAACAUGAAGAUCAGCAACAUCAGAAAUGAACAGAGAUGAUGUUCAGCUGAUGAAGAGCAGAAGAUCAACAUGAGCAGCAGAGAGAGCAGAGCCGUUGAACACAGUCCUGCUCUCAAAAGAAGUCGAAGCAAAGAACUAGAGCCUCCUGACUG